rnacentral:rRNA from 1 species
AUUGAACGCUGGCGGCAGGCUUAACACAUGCAAGUCGAGCGGGGUGAUGGUGCUUGCACUAUCACUUAGCGGCGGACGGGUGAGUAAUGCUUAGGAAUCUGCCUAUUAGUGGGGGACAACAUCUCGAAAGGGAUGCUAAUACCGCAUACGUCCUACGGGAGAAAGCAGGGGAUCACUUGUGACCUUGAGCUAAUAGAUGAGCCUAAGUCGGAUUAGCUAGUUGGUGGGGUGAAGGCCUACGAAGGCGACGAUCUGUAGCGGGUCGGAGAGGAUGGUCGGCCACACUGGGACUGAGACACGGGCCAGACGCCUACGGGAGGCAGCAGUGGGGAAUAUUGGACAAGGGGGGGAACCCUGAUCCAGCCAUGCCGCGUGUGUGAAGAAGGCCUUAGGGUUGUAAAGCACUUUAAGCGAGGAGGAGGCUCUUUUGGUUAAUACCCAAGAUGAGUGGACGUUACUCGCAGAAUAAGCACCGGCUAACUCUGUGCCAGCAGCCGCCGUAA